ensembl:lncRNA
GCAAGAUCCACCGUGCAAAUUGUGCAGCAGACCGUGUUGUUGCUUAUGUUCUCUGCUGCACACUUAGCUCCACAGGAUCUUCGAAGAAUAGUGACGCCAUAUUCAAUCGAGAAUUGAUUGGCUCUCUGCACUGCCAAAGCAAACUCUCUUCAAUUCUUAUCCUCCUUGAUCUUUCUGCUGCCUUAGACACUGUGAACCACCAGAUUCUCCUCUCCACACUCUCAGAGCUGGGGUUCUCGUGUUCGGCCCACUGUUGGUUUGCAUCCUACCUGGCUGGCCGCUCCUACCAGGUUGCAUGGAGUGGGUCUGCACCAUGCGCUCUCACUACUGGUGUACCCCAGGGAUCAGUCCAUGGCCCACUCCUUUUUUCUGUACGCAAAGUCACUUGGCACUUUCAUAUCCACACAUGGCCUGUCCUAUCAUUGCUAUGCCGAUGACACUCAACUAUUCUUCUCAUUUUCCCCUUCUGAUUCCCGGGUUGCAACACAUUCACGCUGUACAAAAUCUGGAAAAUACAACACUUCCUUACACAGGAAGCGGCUCAGGUUCUGAUUCAGUCACUUGUCAUCUCCCGUCUGGACUAUUGCAACGCACUGUUGGCAGGGCUCCCAGCUUGUGCCAGCAAUCCCCUGCAACCUAUCCAAAAGGCUGCAGUCUGUCUGGAAUUCAACCUUCUCAAAUGCACCCAUGUUACCCCUCUCCUCUGGAAGCUCCAUUGGCUUCUGGUUGAAGCUUGCAUCCGUUACAAGACCAUGGUGCUUGCUUAUGGUGCAGCAAAGGGAUCUGCGCCUCCCUACCUGCAGGCUAUGCUUAAACCCUACAACCCUUCCCGUGGACUUUGAUCUGCCACUUCCUGUCUUUUGGCCCCCCAACCCUCACAGGUGGGCAGCUCCCACUCAGCCAAGGCAAAACUCGUCUCUGUCUUGGCACCUCAAUGGUGGAACACAUUUCCCCUUGAAGUCAGGACAGCAGGGUCCCUGCCAAUCUUCCCGAAAUUGGCAGAAAACCUACCUCUUUGAUGAGUGUCUGAAUUAAUAUGUGUACCCCCCCCCCGCCACUCAAAAAGAAAAUGCACUUAACUUUAAUUUCUCUGGCACUGACUUUGUCAGCCGUCACUGGGGUGGGAUGAAGAGCCCCUGCAGCCUUGGAAUAUGGAGAGGGGUCAGAGAACAACAACGAGGAGCUCUCAUCUCCCAAAUUAUGGGGCUCUUUGACGAGCCCUUGUAGAACAGGCACCAGGGGAAGGAGGACGGAGGAACACUUCGGCCUCCAAACCUGGUGGAUCAGCGGCCAACAGAAGUCUUCUUGGAUCGGCCUCUAGAGGAGCAGGCCAAGUGGUGGAGGGCUUGGCUUGCACUGAGGCCUCCCAACCAAAGAACCACUAUCGCAGUGGAGGAGGACAAAGGUGUCUUCGAGCACCGCAAACAGAUGUGGAGGGCACUGGUUUCUGGAGCUAUCUGCGGCCGAGGCACCCUGCCAGGUUUUCCAUACCUGCCCGGAGACCCCAGUGCUGGUCCCCCUCACCAGUGCUCCAGUGCCGGUUCCCCCACCAAGGCUCUAGUGUGAUCCCUCCAGUGCCACCCCCAGGGGAUGGGACGACGAGCCACUGCCAUCGCCGACCUCCUCUUCCUUCCCCGGCACCCCUUCCUGCCCCAGGGGUAGAGUCUCCCCCUUCCCCGGCGCCCUGUCCAGCUCUGAUGAGGGCAGAGUCUCCACCAGUGUCUGCACCCUGCCCUCCCCCUCUGCUGUGUUCUUGAUCUUGCCAUCCCCUUUUGUUGUUUUCUGCUCUGUUGUUUGAGAAGACUAUUAAAAGGAUGUAUUUCAGCUCUGCUCCACAUGUCUUGUCUCACCUCGACCAUGACAAUAACUGUGUAAGAACACAAAAAAAUUAAGGCAACACUAAAAUCACACAUCAGGUCUCGAUGAACAAAAUAUAUUAUAGAUGAAAAUCUUUACAUUGUGUAGUUUGUUGAGAACAAAAUGAUGUAACAUCGGUCAAUGGAAAACAAAAUCACCAACAGAUUGGGCUCUGAAUUCAAACUUCAAACACCGAACAUUUGAGUAAACUAUUGAAAUCACAGGCUGUUCAGUCUGUGGCGCUACUUGGGGGUGUUGGAUGUUCAUAACGUCCCAGAGGUUCUCAACUGGAUUCAGGUCUUGGGAACGUGAGGGCCAGUCAAUGGCAUCAUUACCUUCGUCAUCCAGGAACAGCCUAAACACUCUGGUCACAUGAGGCCAGGGAUUGUCCUGCACCAGGAGGAACCCAGGGCCCACUGCACCAGCUUAAGGUCUGAAGAUGAGUCUGAGGAUUUCAUCCCGGUACCUAACAGUCAAGGUGAUGCUGGCUAGCACAUGGAGGUCUGUGCGAUCUCCAAGGAUCUGCUUCCUCAGACCAUCACUGACCCACCACCAAACCGGUCAUGCUGGAUGAUGUUGCAGGCAGCAUAACGUUCACCACGACGUCUCCAGUAUCUUUCACAUCUGUCACAUGAGUUCAGUGUGAACAUGCUCUCAUCUGUGAAAAGAACCGGGUGCCAUUGACGGACCUGCCCAUUCUGGUGUGGCCAGUCGAGCUGCAUGGUGUUGGGCUGUGAGCACAGGUCCCACUAGAGGAUGUCAGUGUCACGAUUCCCGGGACUCAGGACAGAGGUAGGAUCCAGAAGCAGAUACAGACACCGGGGUAAAAGGACAAUGAUGAUGAUGAUUAUUGUAGUAGUCGGAGAUGACAGUGGAGAUACGUAAGAAUUACGUAGGCGGGUACGAAUGUAUUGUUGGAGGGUGGAUAGUGGGUAGCAGAGGUACGAAGUCCGGGAGGCAAGAAUGGUUGAAUGGUCAGGCAGGGUUCAGUUAACAGAGCGGGGAGUCAAUACAGGGGAAGGUCAAUAACGGGAAGGCAGAUAGGUGAUCCAGGUAGUUGGAAGGGAGGUGCAGGACGGGUCUCGGAACAAGGGUCUGGAAACGACGGAAAAAACACGGUGAGCAGAAGAUAACAAAUAAAACAGGAUACUAGGGGAAUUCGGAUUGCUUGCUUAAUUAAGUAGAGAACACUUUAAUAAUUACGUGGCUGUGCAAUAAUCCGGCCGGGACUGAAAGCAGAACUCUCCUAUUUAUAGGGAGAGUGGCAAUCAGCCCCCCAGGUGUGUAGACUGGUGCAGGUGCUCAGGAUCAGUGGUGAUUACGGGUGCCUUCGUGGAGUGCCGGAAACAAGGUGACUGGUACUCGGGGAGAUGUAAUGACAGACAAACAGCUUAGGAGGGCUGAGUCCUGACAGGGCCCCCCCUUCGAGGGACGCCUCCGGGUGGACCACCAGGGGCGUCGGGACGUCGCUUGUAGAAAUCCCUGACGAGGGAGGCGUCCAGGAUAUGACCGUGUGGAAUCCAGCACCUCUCUUCAGGCCCGUAACCCUCCCAGUCGACGAGGAACUGGACCCCCCGGCCACGCCGUCGGGAGUCCAAAAGGCGGCGGACGGUGUAGACUGGACCCCUGUCGACGAUGCAAGGAGGCGGAGGCCGAGGAGGCGGUGGCAAAAGGGAGCUGAGACGGACAGGCUUGAGCUGGGAGGUGUGGAAGACCGGGUGUACUUUCAUGGCAGACGGCAGUUUCAGACGGACACACACAGGGUUAACGACACGGUCUACAACAAAGGGACCCAGAUAACGGGAGGAGAGCUUGAUAACGGGAGUCCGUUUUAAUGGGAAGAUGCUUUGCCGACAACCAAACCUUGUCUCCGGGCGAGUAGACGGGGGCAGAGGGCCGUCGCCGGUCAGCUUGUUGUUUGUAGACGUCGUUGUUGCGCAGUAGCUCCACCCGUGCACGGUGCCAGGUCCGAUGACACAACGAAUGUGGGCCUGCACAGAGGGCACUGACAGGUCCUUCUCGUGAGCAGGGAAAAAGGGGGGUUGGUAACCAUAUAGGUUCUGAAAUGGGGACAUACCUGUGGCAGCUGUGGGAACCGUGUUGUGGGCGUAAGCGGCCCAGGGGAGUUGGGAGGACCAGUGAAUGGGGUCAGAGGAGGCCAGGCAGCGAAGGGUCGACUCCAUCUUCUGGUUGGCCCUCUCUGCCUGGCCGUUCGACUGAGGGUGGUAGCCGGAAGACAGGCUGACUGAGGCCCCAAUGGCAUGGCAGAAUUCCUUCCACACAUUGGAUGUGAAUUGGGGACCUUGGUCGGACACCACAUCUGAGGGCAGGCCGUGGUGUUGAAAGACCUCUCUGACCAGAAGGUCCGCCAUUUCACUGGCAGACGGGAGCUUGGGCAGAGGAAUGUAGUAGGCAUAUUUUGUGAACCGGUCGACAACAGUUAAUAUCACAGUGUUACCGUCAGAGGGGGGUUACCGUAGGUGCUCAGGAUCAGUGGUGAUUACGGGUGCCUUCGUGGAGUGCCGGGAACAAGGAGACUGGUACUCGGGGAGAUGUAAUGACAGACAAACAGCUCAGGAAGGCUGAGUCCUGACAGUCAGGCCCUCAUGCCACCCUCAUGGAGUCUGUUUCUGACAGUUUGGUCAGAAACAUGCGCACCAGUAGCCCGCUGGAGGUCAUUUUGUA